GUUAGGUCAUGGCUUGAACUGAUGAUUGAGCAACUGGUGAAAGGCUGUGUCUGGCCCAGGGAACAUAGGCAAAUUGUUUGCACCUGUGCUCCCUAGGUGACCAGAAGGUGUGGAGGGUGGAGCCACCCUGUGCUCAUAUAAGGACCAACUAUUGAAAAGAAGGUCCCUUUUGCACCUAGGCUGCUUCCUGAGCAGGAGUGUUGUAUAGCUAUAGAACCCCUUCAUCAGCUGGAAAACACAGAUGCGGAGGAAAACAGACACGGUUCUGCUGAUCUGCAAGCACAGAAAAAUACUGUUGAGGGGUGUUGAGAUUUUCACCACUUACCAGAGCUGCAAAUGCAACGUGCUUGACUGUCCAAUUGAAUAGUUAAAAAAAAAAAAGGAAGGACUAACUUGCAAGUACAGACAAUCUCCAUUAUAAUGUGUGCUAGCUAAGCUUGUUCUUAAACGUUCUGGUAGUUCUAUUUCAGUUAAAAUUGGAUGGUUUCAUUUUCUGGAGGCAAAAAUGCAAAUGCCACCUGUGGUUUGACUGCUUAUGCACUGCAUUGUUUGUAAUAGGACUUGAUGAUUACUUAAUAUAAGCUGCAGUAUGUUUUUAGCUUUCAGCAUCUCACAUAUUUAUGAUGACAGCAUAGAAGUGUGAUUGGAGAUGGGAAAUGCCUGCUUCAGAGGUACUUCCUUCUAAAAUUUACAGAGGUUUCUAUUCUGGGUCUCAGCAGCCUGGAGUGUAGGGGCAAAGAGUAGUUAUGUGGUGUUGUGGCUCUGGGAAAACAGUGCUUCCAGGGAACAGGGCAGAGAUGCCAUGCUCUUAAUUUGAGCAUCCUUAAGUUGACUUGAACAGGGGAGUGGGAGGAAAACUGAGUACAAAGAAAAGUUCUGGAGUAGCUCCAGGACCCAAACAAACACACUGGUUUUGCUUCCACAUAUGGGUAUAAGUAAGAAGGG
ensembl:lncRNA